rnacentral:rRNA from 1 species
UGAGAGCGGCGUACGGGUGCGUAACACGUGUGCAACCUGCCUUUAUCUGGGGGAUAGCCUUUCGAAAGGAAGAUUAAUACCCCAUAAUAUAUUGAUUGGCAUCAAUUAAUAUUGAAAGCUCCGGCGGAUAGAGAUGGGCACGCGUAAGAUUAGCUAGUUGGUGAGGUAACGGCUCACCAAGGCUGCGAUCUUUAGGGGGCCUGAGAGGGUGAUCCCCCACACUGGUACUGAGACACGGACCAGACUCCUACGGGAGGCAGCAGUGAGGAAUAUUGGACAAUGGGUGAAAGCCUGAUCCAGCCAUCCCGCGUGAAGGACUAAGGACCUAUGGUUUGUAAACUUCUUUUAUACAGGGAUAAACCUACUCUCGUGAGGCUAGCUGAAGGUACUGUAUGAAUAAGCACCGGCUAACUCCGUGCCAGCAGCCGCGGUAAUACGGAGGGUGCAAGCGUUAUCCGGAUUUAUUGGGUUUAAAGGGUCCGUAGGCGGGUCGAUAAGUCAGUGGUGAAAGCCUGCAGCUUAACUGUAGAACUGCCGUUGAUACUGUCGGUCUUGAGUGUAUUUGAGGUAGCUGGAAUGAGUAGUGUAGCGGUGAAAUGCAUA